rnacentral:rRNA from 1 species
CACGUAGUUAGCCGGGGCUUCUUGGUCAGGUACCGUCAUCUUCUUCCCUGCCGAUAGGGCUUUACGCGCCGAAACGCUCCUUCACCCACGCGGCGUCGCUGCAUCAGGGUUCCCCCCAUUGUGCAAUAUCCCCCACUGCUGCCUCCCGUAGGAGUCUGGGCCGUGUCUCAGUCCCAGUGUGGCCGUCCACCCUCUCAAGCCGGCUACUGAUCGUCGCCUUGGUGAGCCGUUACCUUACCAACCAGCUAAUCAGACGCGGGUCCAUCCCAUAGCGAUAAAUCUUUCAAAACAGGACCAUGCGGUCCCGCUUUCCCAUGCGGUAUUAGCAGCCGUUUCCAGCUGUUGUCCCCCUCUAUGGGGCAGGUUACCCACGCGUUACUCACCCGUCCGCACUCAGUCAUCCCAUAUGCUUCCUUCCCCAGCAAGCUGGUUCUGUCCGCGGGUGGAUGCUUCGUUCGACUUGCAUGUGUUAGCACGCCGCAGCGUUCAUCCUGAG